rnacentral:misc_RNA from 1 species
AACGCACAUUGCGCCCAUUAGUAUUCUAGUGGGCAUGCCUGUUCGAGCGUCAUUUCAACCCUUAAGCCUCUGUUGCUUAGUGUUGGGAGCCCACGGUCGUUUUCGGGAUCGUGGCUCCUCAAAUCCAGUGGCGGAGUCGGUUUCACGCUCCGGACGUAGUAGAUUCUUUUUCUCGUCCGCAGUUGAGGCUGGCGUCUUGCCGUUAAACCCCCCUUUUGUUUUUCAAGGUUGACCUCGGAUCAGGUAGGAAUACCCGCUGAACUUAA